UGCUGCUUCGCUGACGAGUGGCGGACGGGUGAGUAAUGUCUGGGAAACUGCCUGAUGGAGGGGGAUAACUACUGGAAACGGUAGCUAAUACCGCAUAACGUCGCAAGACCAAAGAGGGGGACCUUCGGGCCUCUUGCCAUCGGAUGUGCCCAGAUGGGAUUAGCUAGUAGGUGGGGUAACGGCUCACCUAGGCGACGAUCCCUAGCUGGUCUGAGAGGAUGACCAGCCACACUGGAACUGAGACACGGUCCAGACUCCUACGGGAGGCAGCAGUGGGGAAUAUUGCACAAUGGGCGCAAGCCUGAUGCAGCCAUGCCGCGUGUAUGAAGAAGGCCUUCGGGUUGUAAAGUACUUUCAGCGGGGAGGAAGGUGAUGAGGUUAAUAACCUUGGCGAUUGACGUUACCCGCAGAAGAAGCACCGGCUAACUCCGUGCCAGCAGCCGCGGUAAUACGGAGGGUGCAAGCGUUAAUCGGAAUUACUGGGCGUAAAGCGCACGCAGGCGGUCUGUCAAGUCGGAUGUGAAAUCCCCGGGCUCAACC
rnacentral:rRNA from 1 species